CGACUGCCAGGUGUGUGACGACUGCAGAAAUCAACGAAGCGCUAUGUCGAAGAAAGGUUUUCACGAUGACGACGACGAACAGUUAGUGGAGUAUGUGAGCAGAUACUCUAUACUGUAUGAUCAUAAGCAUACAGAUUUCAGAAAUGUGAUGGCAAAGGAUAAGGUGUGGAAGAAGAUAGGAGAAGCAAUGAAAAAAGAUGAUGCAGUCUGUGUGCAUCGUGGGGGCUGGGGCUGCUGGUUUGUGUGCAGCAAGACUUCUGAGUCCAACUCCUCACUUCAAGGUAGUGGUUUUUGAGCAGUCUGCAACACUUAGUGGCACUUGGCACUACAAUGACAACCCAACUGUGGAUCCACAUUCCAGAAUGUACUGCAACCUAAGAAUGUCAGUGGCCACUAGGACAUGACCACCAAAAACAUGCAACGGGCACUGCAGACCAUGCAGCAGGCACAUGAACUGACGAUGAAUAAGAUGGCUGCCAUAACCAAGUCACCUGAGGUCUCCAACAGAUUGUGUUGCAUUGACUCUGUGGUGAAGUUCACAGAAGUAGUUAAACAUCGACUCUCAUCAGCUACGAAGGUUUGAUUUCUCUUUGCCAUGUUCUUUGGAGCAUCAAGCAGAGACCCACGUCUUGGCACCCUUUUCUUUGUCUUUGUGCUGUAUGCAUUGUGCCAUCAAGUACAAUAAAUCACUGUUUUUAGCAA